UACGGAGGAUCCAAGCGUUAUCCGGAUUCAUUGGGUUUAAAGGGUGCGUAGGCGGCUAAUUAAGUCAGUGGUGAAAUCCCGAGGCUCAACUUCGGAACUGCCAUUGAUACUGGUUAGCUUGAAUUCAGUUGAGGUGGGCGGAAUGUAGCAUGUAGCGGUGAAAUGCUUAGAUAUGCUACAGAACACCGAUUGCGAAGGCAGCUCACUAAACUGACAUUGACGCUGAGGCACGAAAGCGUGGGGAGCGAACAGG
rnacentral:misc_RNA from 1 species